AUGUGGGCUCAUCUUCGUCAGCGGUAUCAACCCUCUGGUGAUGCUCUCUACUUGUCUAUGGUCCGUCAGGAGCAUGCUCUUCAGCAGGGAGACUCCACUAUUGAUGAGUUCUACACUCAGAGUUCUGCUAUCUGGCGCCAGCUUGACUCCCUUCGCACUACUGUUUGUGGCACUUGCCCGUGUUGCCAGACUAUGAGGUCAGACUUGGAGUUUCAGCGCGUCUAUGAGUUCUUGUCACGGCUCCGUGGGGAGUUUGAGCCUCGACGUGCUCAGUUGUUUGCUCGUGGUCGUGUUCCUAUUUCUGAGGUGCUUUCCGAGCUUCGUGCUGAGGAGACUCGCCUUCGUGGUGCUGGUUUGCUUCAGGUUCCCUCUGUGCUCGGUGCUCGAGCUGCUACUCCACCAGUGUCUUCUCGCUCCAGUGCUCCACCACUACUACCCACUCCUCCGGGUAGCCGCUCUCGUCCUCGUACUCAUUGUGACUACUACAACAGGGAUGGUCACCCCGAGUCUGAUUGCUUCAAGAAGAAGCGUGAUAUGCGUAAUAGGGAGCGCAAUUCUUCUUUUGGGACUCGUGCUUCUUCCUCGACGCUGUCUACUAUC
rnacentral:rRNA from 1 species